GAUGAAGAACGCAGCGAAAUGCGAUACUUGGUGUGAAUUGCAGAAUCCCGUGAACCAUCAAGUCUUUGAACGCAAGUUGCGCCCGAAGCCACUAGGCCGAGGGCACGCCUGCCUGGGCGUCACACGCCGUUGCCCCCCCAUCUACUCCUUCGGGAUUGCGGGGGGGCGGAUGAUGGCCUCCCGUGCGCCUAGCCGCGCGGUUGGCAUAAAUACCAAGUCCUCGGCGACGCACGCCACGACAAUCGGUGGUUGCGAAACCUCGGUUGCCCGUCGUGUGCGUUCGUCGCGCAUCGAGGGCUCGAAAAAAUGCUCGGCUCCGGCUGGGCUUUCAACGCGACCCCAGGUCAGGCGGGGUUACCCGCUGAAUUUAAGCAUAUCAAUAAGCGGAGGA
rnacentral:misc_RNA from 1 species